AAGAUUAGGGUAGAGAGAAGGGCAUGGAACUUUGAAAAGAAGCUGGACAGAGGGGAGAGUAGCGAGUUAGCUAGGAGAUGCUGGGAAGAGGUAAGGGCAAAGGUAGAAGUGGGGAAGGAAGGAUCAAGAUGGGAAAGAGAGAGGGAAGGUUUCUUUGCCGAAAGGGGGCAGGAGAAUAGGGAGGCUGUCGGGAGGAGGGAGAGGGGGGAACUGGAAUUUGGGGAGUUGGAGGAGAGAAAGAGGGUGGAGCAGAGGAAAGAGAGAUGUGCGGAAAUAGGAGAAUCUCGGUACAGCAGAUGGUACAGGAUAGUGAUAGGAGAAGGGAUACCAGGGUAUCUGGGAAAGGGCUGGGGAGAAAGCAGGUGGAAAAUGGCGGCAAGAUUCAGGUUAGGAAGCGAGAUGAGGGAAGCAAAGUACUGGGAGAAAAAGGAAAAGAGAAGGUGUAGGGUGUGUGGGGGGGGGAAGACGAAACGCGGGAGCACGUUUGGGAAAGGUGUGUAGGCUAGGAUAGAAGGGAGGAGAGCUGGCAGGAGGUAGUGAGGGAGAAGUUAGGGGCGGAGGGGGAGGGGGAAGGCUGGACGAGAGAACUGAAAAGGAUCAGAAAUGUGCGAGAAAAGGAAAGAAUAAGAGAUGAAUGGGAAACGAAAGCCGAGUAGUAUAAGGAAGGAUAGGGAAUAGCAUAAGGUGAAAUAAGUUAAGGUUAGGUGAAU